rnacentral:lncRNA from 1 species
AGAGAGAGAGAGAGGCACGUUGCUGGUGUUUACCAUUGGCUUACCAAGGAGCAUAGCUGAGCAGUAUUGUUUGAACCACAUGACCCCCAUUGUUUGAAACUCCUGGUAGGUCCCAUGCUCUAUUACUACACUAAGAAACAACUUAAUAUUCUUCAAGUGGCUUGGUCACCUCCAGCAGAUGUGUUGUCAAUUUGAAAUUUUUACAAAAAGUUGCUUUGUGAAUACAUGAUUGUUAUUAAAUGAAUUCUAUACAAGCGGAACUGUUGCUGACCUAGAUAUGGAUCAUACACUGUAUAAGUAUCUUACAACAUUCAUACCAAGUAAAUGUAGUUAUUUAAUAAAGCAAAUUAAAGAACUGGAAGUCAAGCAUGCAGCCAUGUGGUAAUAUGGGUAGAUUAUUUGAAGAUCUCCAAUGAAGCUUAUUUUUAAAUUUCAUACGUGUUCUUACGGCUAAAAUUUUUAAUCCAUCGCAUCAUCACCCCACUUACUCAAGCAACAUCAUGAGUGAUCCUGAAUAUAUGUGCUGACAUAUAAAAUUAUAAAUGGAACUGAGAUAGCGCCCAAACACUAAAAUACAUAAUAUAAAUGGAA